rnacentral:rRNA from 1 species
UACAGAGGUCUCAAGCGUUGUUCGGAUUCAUUGGGCGUAAAGGGUGCGUAGGCGGCGCGGUAAGUCGGGUGUGAAAUCUCGGAGCUUAACUCCGAAACUGCAUUCGAUACUGCUUUGCUUGAGGACUGGAGAGGAGAUUGGAAUUCACGGUGUAGCAGUGAAAUGCGUAGAUAUCGUGAGGAAGACCAGUGGCGAAGGCGGAUCUCUGGACAGUUCCUGACGCUGAGGCGCGAAGGCCAGGGGAGCAAACGGG